AAGUAGCAUAAUCAGUUGGCUUAUAAUUGAAGUCUGGUAUGAACGAAAGCACGGGUAUGGCUBUCUCCUAUACAGUUGUCCAAAUUUAGUAUGUAGAGUGCAAAAACUCACAUAAAUAUAUUAGACGAGAAGCACCCUAGAAAUUUUUACAAUAAUGUUUUUGUUGGGGCGACAGAGUUACAGUUAACUAACUUUAAAUAUUUGAAACAGAGGUGAAAAAAUAAAUUACUCUAGGGAUAACAGCGUAAUUUGUAAAAGUUUGUGACCUCGAUGUUGGACUAGGUAAAAUACUUUCUAGCAGAAAAUAUUUUUUAGCUCUGUUCGAGCAGUGAAAACCUGA
rnacentral:rRNA from 1 species